rnacentral:piRNA from 1 species
AUCUUGAUGUGCCCUAAGUCUAUUUAACCUC